UCCAGAGAACUUUGUAAAUACAGAUCCACAACGUAACAUCACGGUAACAAUCUCACGGUCAAAAACGAGGACAGUAGCAGGAACCACAGUAAACCAUAACGGAACUUCAACCAAACUUAGAACCAUAAAUUUCAAACCAAAAAAAUAAAUCUAAAGGCAACGGAAAAUCUAACUCCUCCAGUUUCCUUCAGAGCCACCACCGUAACCACCUUCACGACGGCCACCUCCAUAACCGCCGCCGCCACCACCACCAUAACCACCUUCACGGCGGCCACCUCCGUAACCGCCGCCACCACCGUAUCCACCUUCACGACGGCCACCACAUCCGUAGCCUCCACCGCUACCACCACGGUAACCGCCACCGCCUCCACCUCCGCCGCUUCCGCGAGACUGAGCUUCGUUGACGGUGAUGUUACGACCGUCAAGGUCCU
rnacentral:lncRNA from 1 species